rnacentral:rRNA from 1 species
AUUGAACGCUGGCGGCAGGCCUAACACAUGCAAGUCGAGCGGAUGAAGGGAGCUUGCUCCUGGAUUCAGCGGCGGACGGGGGAGUAAUGCCUAGGAAUCUGCCGGGUAGUGGGGGAUAACGUCCGGAAACGGGCGCUAAUACCGCAUACGUCCUGAGGGAGAAAGUGGGGGAUCGUCGGACCUCACGCUAUCAGAUGAGCCUAGGUCGGAUUAGCUAGUUGGUGGGGUAAAGGCCUACCAAGGCGACGAUCCGUAACUGGUCUGAGAGGAUGAUCAGUCACACUGGAACUGAGACACGGUCCAGACUCCUACGGGAGGCAGCAGUGGGGAAUAUUGGACAGUGGGCGAAAGCCUGAUCCAGCCAUGCCGCGUGUGUGAAGAAGGUCUUCGGAUUGUAAAGCACUUUAAGUUGGGAGGAAGGGCAGUAAGUUAAUACCUUGCUGUUUUGACGUUACCAACAGAAUAAGCACCGGCUAACUUCGUG